UCACUCUGGUUUCCCUUCAAAAAGCAUAAAUCUUUCGCCUUUUACUAAAGAUUUCCGUGGAGGGGAACAAGUUAACGAGUCUUUAGACUAAUUUUUUGUUUGCUCUGCCUUCCUGGUGGGGCU
rnacentral:snRNA from 1 species